GAGACAAACUUUUAACUGACAGGUAUUUGUAUGUCUUCUAAAUUGGCACCUUUAUUGUGCAAACAUAUCACAUCUUUGUUUUUCUUAAACAUUGAAAUUCAGUUCCCUCUUAAUUUGUUUGAGAUGCAUUUGUGUAUAUUCCUUUUUUUGUUUGUUGUCUUGGAUUGUUCUCCAAUAGCUAGUUGUAUUCAACUAUUCAACAAGUCAUGAGGAAUAUACCUGCAAUGCCCUUUAUUUUUUUUAAUCAUCAUAUUUUUUAUUAUUGCAAAUUACUAACAAAUGAUGGCGUUGGGAAGUG
rnacentral:misc_RNA from 1 species